CCUACGAGAGGCUGCAGUGAGGAAUAUUGGUCAAUGUCCGGAAGGCUGAACCAGCCAAGCCGCGUGAAGGACGAAGGUGCUAAGCAUUGUAAACUUCUUUUGUCAAGGGACAAAAUCAGGCUCGAGAGCCUGCCCGAGGGUACUUGAAGAAAAAGCAUCGGCUAACUCCGUGCCAGCAGCCGCGGUAAUAGGGAGGAUGCGAGCGUUAUCCGGAUUUAUUGGGUUAAAAGGGUGCGUAGGCGGACUGUUAAGUCAGCGGUAAAAGCCCGGGGCUAAACCCGGGCGAGCCGUUGAAACUGGCUGUCUUGAGAUGUCGAGAGGUAUGCGGAAUGCGCAGUGUAGCGGUGAAAUGCUUAGAGAUUGCGCAGAACUCCGAUUGCGAAGGCAGCAUACCGGCGGCGGUCUGACGCUGAGGCACGAAAGCGUGGGUAUCGAACAGGAUUAGAUACCCCUGUAGUC
rnacentral:rRNA from 1 species